rnacentral:rRNA from 1 species
AUGCUGCAGCUUUGCAGCCGGCGCGUCCUCGUCGUCGCCUUGGCGGUGGCCGUCCUGGGCGCCGCUAACCCGCGCGCCGCCGUGGACGCGUACAAGAACUACACCGUCGGCGACGACAAGGGCUGGUACGACGGCCUCGCGGUCGACUACCAGGCUUGGGCCGAAGGCUACAACUUCACCCUCGGAGAUUUUCUCAUAUUCAACACGGACAAGAAUCACUCGGUGGUGCAGACACGGAACGAGACCCUGUACAAGAGCUGCGACUACGACGACUCCGGCCUCGACGACACCGUCGAUUGGUCCGCCGCCGCGCCGGAGUUCAGCAAGGAUGCCGUCACCGCCGCCGUGCCACUGCUCAAGGAGGGCAGAACGUACUUCUUCUCCGGGAACUACGACGGCGAGCAGUGCGAGAACGGCCAGCGCUUCGCCAUAGCCGUCGCACACGGCCAAGGCCUCCCGCCGGACCUCAGGCCGCCGGUGGCCGACGCGCCAGGGCCAGCAGCCGGACCCGACAGCGCCGACAGGGCGCCGGCCUUCGACUUCAGCCACCCAAAGAACGUCUCCACGCCGUCGGAAACCGGUGCUUCCGAUGACGAGACGAGUACCAGUACUUCGGAUUCUACUCUAAAUCUAGCCAGUUUGGGGGCUGGCCUGAUCAUGGCUCUCAGUGUGCUCUUUGCGGUGCAAGUAUAA